GACGAACGCUGGCGGCGUGCUUAACACAUGCAAGUCGAACGAUGAAGCCGGAGCUUGCUCUGGUGAAUUAGUGGCGAACGGGUGAGUAACACGUGAGUAACCUGCCCUUGACUCUGGGAUAACUGCGGGAAACUGUAGCUAAUACCGGAUACGACCCUCGGAGGCAUCUCCUGGGGGUGGAAAGAAUUUCGGUCAAGGAUGGACUCGCGGCCUAUCAGCUAGUUGGUGAGGUAAAGGCUCACCAAGGCGACGACGGGUAGCCGGCCUGAGAGGGUGACUGGCCAGACUGGGACUGAGACACGGCCCAGACUCCUACGGGAGGCAGCAGUGGGGAAUAUUGCACAAUGGGCGCAAGCCUGAUGCAGCAACGCCGCGUGAGGGAUGACGGCCUUCGGGUUGUAAACCUCUUUUAGCAGGGAAGAAGCGAAAGUGACGGUACCUGCAGAAAAAGCACCGGCUAACUACGUGCCAGCCGCCGCCGUAAAAC
rnacentral:rRNA from 1 species